rnacentral:misc_RNA from 1 species
UUACUUGAAGUUGCUAGGUCUCUUCUGUUUACAACGAAUAUUCCCAAACCUUACUGAGGGUAUGCUAUUCUUUCUGCUGCAUAUGUUAUUAACAGGAUGCCACUCUGGACUUUAGAGUUUAAGAGUCCUCCAGAGGUUUUGCAAGGUAAAAAUUCGUAUACUAUUCCUCCAAAGGUUUUUUGGUAUGUUUGCUUUGUUCAUAGGU